rnacentral:rRNA from 1 species
UAAUACGGAGGGUGCAAGCGUUAUCCGGAUUUAUUGGGUUUAAAGGGUCCGUAGGCGGACUGUUAAGUCAGCGGUGAAAGCCCACAGCUCAACUGUGGAACUGCCGUUGAUACUGACAGUCUUGAGUACAAGUGAGGUUGGCGGAAUGUGUGGUGUAGCGGUGAAAUGCUUAGAUAUCACACAGAACACCGAUUGCGAAGGCAGCUGGCCAACUUGUAACUGACGCUGAGGGACGAAAGUGUGGGGAUCAAACAGGAUUAGAUACCCUGGUAGUCCACACCGUAAACGAUGAUUACUAGAUUUUGGCCGUUAGGUCAGAGUCCAAGCGAAAGUGUUUAGUAAUCCACCUGGGGAGUACGUCCGCAAGGAUG